UAUUUGAACAGUGUAGUUUAAUGGCUCUUAAGGCAACUUCAUGUGCAUACAACACUUAGAGAAGGAAAUAGGAAUCUUCCAAGGGGCUGGUCCAGAUUUCCGACAUCCUUUUUCUGAAAUUGACCCCCUCUUGUUGCAAACAUCUCUUCCUUGAUUUCAUUAGAGUUCAUCUCUUAAGUACGCCUCCCCUCAUGCUACCAAUAUUUAAGUACUGCUUGUUCCUAGAAAACACAAGAUAGUUGUCUUUUACUUUUGGCUUCCUUGCCUUAACACCUGCAAGAUUCAUCCUCACUCUGGCAUUAGUUGUCUGAUGUCCGUUUACACCUGGUGAGCCAGUGAAUGAGGGAAGUAAAGGAACUAGGCACAAAAUAAUGUGACAUAUGCAUGUACUGUACCACAAAAUAAGAGCAGACGGGGCUCCUCUUCACAUAGGGAGAACCACACAGGUCUCACAGGCAGGAUUGAAGGCAAGACCCAGAGAGAAGGUUGAACUGAUGUUCGAAGUAGUCCUGGGAACUCUUGGUACAGACAGAGUCAUGGUCUGCUAUUGGCAGGAGGGAGGCAGAGGCAGGUUAGAAGCUGAAGGACAAAACUUGGAAUGGCUACAUCAGGUAUAACUAGGCAUAGAUGAAUAAAGGACCUUAUCCUUGGUGAAGAACCACAUAAGUAGUAGCUUUUCAGACCUUGGCUUCUUCAGAUGUUUAUGGAUUCAGAAGACAAAGAGAUAAAUAACUCUUACUUCUUUACCUAGACUUCUAAAGUGUUUCCUGGCUUGAUGUGGGUAAUCAUGGUAGGAGCCAAUUGUUGAAAAUCCUAGGGACCUCUUCCUUUGGUUCAGACAUGUGUCUCACUGGGAAUACUUGAAUUCUUUUGUCUCCUUAGACGCAUCCAACCCAGACAGCCUUCUUGUCGAGUGUGGAUGUACACACACAUUUUUCCUACCAGAUGAUGCUGCCAGAAUCAAUUGCAGUGGUCUGCUCACCCAAAUAUAAGCAAACUGGAAUUUUUACACUGACACCUUUUGGAUUGAAUGAAAUAUCAAUCUGCUCCCAGAGGGGUUUCCAUCCCCAUAAUCAGGACUCAGCUAUAUUCUGUGACUGCAGUCAUGUCACCUUUCAAAACAGCAGGGUGACCAUCAAGGAUUUGCGAUGAGUAAACUAAAGCACACACACACCUAAGUGAGAGUGUGUGUGUUUUGUGUGUGUGGUUGUGUGUGUCUGUGUGUGUGUGUUUUGUGUAUAUGUGAGUGAAUGUAGGGUGGUGUAUAUAUUUGUAUGUAUGUUAAACUUUGUCAUAUUAUAUCUGUUAUGUAUGUUCACUUGUAUUUAUGUACCACACAAUGUGCUCAUUCACAGCGCCCAGAUGAACUUACCUUUUUAUUGCAGGUUUAGCAGUUAGGAAAAAGCAUGUAUAAAACGGAAGAUUGUGACACAUAAUGGCAAGAGCUCUACAGGAUACAUCCUGAGUCUAGAUGUAUGAACCCAAAAAAUUCAUUUUACUUACAAGUGUAUCUCCUCUUCUAACACAAUUUGCAUAAUUGGAGAUCAUACAAUUAGCACUAAGGAAUUAACACACCACUUAUUGAAUAAUAACUACAUAAUGUGUGAAUGAUUUCUUCAAAUGAGAAGUUCCUUGUAGGAAAUCAUGAGCAGAAAGCAGAAGUCCUCUGGAUUGAGCAAUGGAUGUGGAACAUAUGUAGAACUUCAAGAUGUGUCUAGAUGAGAUCUAUCCAUGCUCAUUAUUCUCUUCAGCCUGGUGCACUCUCAACUUUACAUUAGUUCAAAGCCUUCAUCCAGUAGCUGAUGCGUUUAGAAGCAGAGAAUCACAGCUAAGCACUGAGCAGAACUCCUGGAAUCCAGUUGUAGAAAGGGCAAGACCAUGCACGGAAAACCCACAGACACAGCUGACCUGAGCAAGUGGAAGUUAACAGACCCCAGGCUGACAGCUGAGGCACCAGCAUAAGACCCAACAAGGCCUCCUGAAUGUGGGUAUCAGUUGGGAGUCCUGGGCAGUCUAUAGCACCACUGGCAAUGUAUCCAGAAUUUAUUCCUAGUGCACAAAUGGGCUUUGGAAGCGCAUUGCCUAUGAUGGGACACUCUCUCAGCAUAGACACAUAGAGGAAUGCCUAAGUGCUGUCCCAAAUGAUGUGACAGAUGUUGAUGAUCCCUUAAGGACACUUCACCCUCCCUGGGAGUGGAUAGGGGUGGGAAGGCAGGGUCAGUGGGUACCAAGUGAGAAUGGGAGUGAGGGGACUAAUAAUGGUAUGUAAAAUGAGAUUGUUAUAAUUUAAAAUAUAUUUUUUCAAAAUGACCAAAAAAAGAAAGAAAAUGGCACUGCUCAUUCACCUUAGGCUUCACACAUUUAUCUGAUUACACUAAUAAAUGUGAACCUCAGCUGUUCUAUUUUACAGUGGAAAAACUAGGUUAACCAUUGGUGUGAAAGGCUGAGAACCUGAUUUGAAACCCGUGACUAAAACUAUAAGUAAGGUAACAUUCUCCAUUUGUGCAUUCCUGUUUUAUAAGUAGUCACACUCUAGUUUUACAUUAAGAAGUUUAAUGUUUCUUCAAAAAUAUUCAUUAUCAACACUUAUGAGAGAGAGAAUAUGAAUCAGAUAAAAGCAGAAAACGCCAUUCUGUAUUGGGCUAAAGUUAUUUCUCAGUUGUUAAACCAGUUGUGUCUCUUGUAGAAGACCUGGGUUCAGUUCUCAGCACCAACAUGGUAACUCCCGACUACCAAUGACUCCAGCUCCAGGAAAUUCCACACCUUUUCUGGCCAACGGGGGAACUGCAUAUACACACAUCUAUAUAAUAAGAAUAAAAAUCCUUCAGGAUAAUGGACAUUCAUCUCAUUAAUGAAUCACUUAUACUCAGUAAAUAUUAUUUUAAUUAUUUAAUUAUUUUAUACUAAUAUUUGUAUAAUGAUUGUCACAUUGAAUGUGACUUUCCUUAGGAUCCUUCAUUGUACACAAAAAGACAGAUCAUUAUGGAAGGAUUCUUACUUAGACCACUUUUCUCUGUCUCAAGUUCAUAAUAAGCUAGAUUGCAUUUUGCAAACUCAAUUUGUGCUUUUACUCUCAUAUUAUAUAGCUAUGUGAAGCUCCUAUAAAAGUCUUAUUUUCAUAAAAAUUCAAAAGGAUUUCAUUGUGACUAUAAAGAUUGAUUUCUAGGUUAUAUUGAAGCUCCUGAAUUCUAUAUCAAUGAAAAAAAAAUGCUAAGGCUCUAUAAUUCUGUUAAAAUAUACAAUAUUGGAAAUAUAAUUUCUGUGACAUUGCAGUAAUAUAUUUAAUCGGUUGGGGUUUUAUCUGCUGAUGUUUCAGCUUUGCCAAAUUAUGUGACAAUAGGAUUCUAAUAUGUUGCUUUGUUAUCUUAUUUCUACUCUUUUAUGUUGAUAGGAUAUUCACUGUGAUCUUAGAAUAUAUCAUAUUGUAUAUUUUAGUAUUGAGUAGAAUAAAAGACAGAGUGGAGUAUGUUGCUCAGUAGGAGGAGUAUUUACUCAAUAUUUCUGAGACUAGAUUUAUUAGGAAAUUUAUCUGAAAACAUGCCAAAAUAUUUGAAUUACCUGUGGCUUUGUUGUCGGUAGUAAGAAUUUUCUUUAUAUUUGUUGUGAUAUAGUCUCACCAUGUAACCCAGAUUGACCUCAAAGUUCUGAUGUGUUCAUCUCCUUCUCUUGAUAUAAGUAGUUGCACACAUUUGCAUAUGUGUAAAACUAUGCCAACAGUAAAUUUUUCAUGAUGUUGCAGUGAAAGAAUUAAUAAACCAAACUUCCUGAGUCACCGUUUCUCCACUGCAUUUAAAGUAUGUGUUUUGGAAAAUUCAGGUCUGUAUUUGACAUGACUUUGUCACCAGCACUUGCUUAUUGGAACCAAAUUAUAUGGUGAUUAAGGGGCACAAGAAUAAAUAAUAAGGUAUAA